AUGGCCCAAGGUAUUGGGAUUGGAGCCUACAUUGCUCAGUGGCCUGAAAAAAUCGUUCUGAGACCUGGAGGCUCUUUGACCAUCUCCUGCUACCAGAAUUACAGUAGCCUUGCCUAUAUGUUCUGGUACCAGCAGCCUCCAAAAAAUGGUUUGAAGUUAAUAGUCAGCAGUAGUACAUGGAGUCUUAACUCUUAUGAGGAUGGUUACUCUGAGGCCAAGUUUGAAGUAACCAGACAGAAUACUGAUUACUCUCUGAUGACAAUCAAGAAUGUGACAGCCCAGGAUGCAGCCACAGGAGAAGUUUUUCUGCAGCUGCAAAAUGGUGUGAAUAAUGAUCAGUUGUUCUUUGGCAGUGGGACAAAACUUACGGUCAUAGGGAAGGAUGAUAAAAUCAUACCUCCAGCUGUGGCCAUCUUUUCCCCAUCAAAGCAGGAGAUCCAGCAGAAGAGCAAGGCCACGCUGGUGUGCCUGGCCUCUGGUUUCUACCCUGACCACCUGACUCUGGUCUGGAGGGUGAAUGGUGUGAAAAGGACCGAAGGGGUGGGGACAGACGAGUCCUCCACACAGAAUGGGAGCACCUACUCACUGACCAGCCGACUGAGGAUGCCAGCCUGGGAGUGGUUCAACCCUCUGAAUCGCUUUGAGUGUGUUGCCAAUUUUUUUCAGAAUGGAACAACAGCAUCAAAAAACAAAUUUAUCCAUGGUGAUGCUGGUUGUGCACUCACAGAAGAGUCGUACUUGCGGUAUGGAAAUUCCCUGAAGCUCACUUACCUCAUCCUCUGUGGCAAAGCCUUGGUCUAUGCAGUUUUGGUGAGUGGUCUGGUGUGGACAGCCAAGACUGGUGUCAAGUUAUCUAGAGAAUAAAUGAAGAGCCCUUGUCAUCACAUCAGCAGGAACAUGACAAGUUUGCUACCUUUCCAUAGCAAAAUAUCUAUGCUUCUACGAACUUCUGAAUAUAAUUUUUUUGUAAUUAUCUGUUGCCAUCCUGUUCUCCACUAUUUUGUAAUCACUGCUGAGCUUUCCCUGUACUUCCAUAUCAUAAUGUAUCACAUUUUGUUGUAACAUAUCUUUAAAAGUAGCACCUUCUUAAUGCUCAGAGGCUGGGAACUCAUCUCCUUGAUUUAGGAAUAAAGGUUUUGCCUAUUUUCCUUUGAGAA